AAAAACAUCGCCUCCCGCAAAUCAAUGUAUAGGAGGUCCUGCCUGCCCAGUGAACUAAUUAAACGGCCGCGGUAUCUUGACCGUGCAAAGGUAGCGCAAUCACUUGUCUUUUAAAUGAAGACCUGUAUGAAUGGUGGAACGAGGGCUUAACUGUCUCCCUCCUUAAGUCAGUGAAAUUGAUCUGCCCGUGCAGAAGCGGACAUAAAAAUACAAGACGAGAAGACCCUUUGGAGCUUAAGACUCUAAAACCAAUUAUGUAAAAAAUUUACCCAAAACAAAUUAAACCCAAUAAAAACUGGUCUAAGUCUUCGGUUGGGGCGACCACGGGGGAAAAUAAAGCCCCCAUGUGGAACGGGGAGAUCCCCUAAAACCAAGAGAGACAUCUCUAAGACACAGAACAUCUGACCCAUAGAUCCGGCUUUCAAGCCGAUCAACGGACCAAGUUACCCUAGGGAUAACAGCGCAAUCCCCUCCCAGAGUCCAUAUCGACAAGGGGGUUUACGACCUCGAUGUUGGAUCAGGACAUCCUAAUGGUGCAGCCGCUAUUAAGGGUUCGUUUGUUCAACGAUUAAAGUCCUACGUGAUCUGAG
rnacentral:rRNA from 1 species